GGGCCGGGAGGGGGCGCUGAGACCGCGAGGGCCGCCGACCCGGCAGCAGGGGCCGCUUGGGCCCCGCGUCCUUUGGGGGUCCCUGCGCGCCCUCGCCCUCGUUUAUAAAACUGUCUUUUAAAGUGGGUGGUGCACUGUUACAUUUACAUCAGCAGUGUGUGAACAUUGUGUUUCUCCAUAUCCUCGCCAACGCUUGUUGACAUCUGGCUUUUCGAUUAUAGCCAUCCUAUUGUGUGUGCCUGGUGUAAAAAAAAGUUUUUUUAAAAAAUUUUUUUGAGAUAUUCAUAUAGCAUAAAAUUCACCAUUUGAAAGCGUGCGAUUCAGUGGGUUUUAGUAUUGUCAGUAUGUCGUACAAACACUAUCACUAAUUCCAGAACAUUCCAUCAAUCCAAAAAGAGACCCCUCACAAUUUAGCAGUCACUCCCAAUCUCCAACACCUCUCAGCCCCUGGCAAUCACUAGUUUACUUGCUAUUCCUGUGGAUCUGUCUAUUCUGGACAUUUCACAGUACCUUUUACAGUGAUUGAUGCCUUUUGGGGUGGGGGAGCAUUUUCUUUGUAGAAGAACUGAGGCUAAAUUUGGAGACAUUCAUUUAAGAGGGUGUGGAAUGUACAAUUAACAAAGAUAACAGCAGGUACAUCCCAGCCUUCCUGCACUUAGGCAUAGGAGUAGCACUUCAGUGUUAUGAUUGGAGGCCAUUUUAAGCAACAAAAUCAACAAGAAGCACGAACAUGCAAAAAACAUGGAACAAAAUAGACUGCAAAAAGGACACUCGUUCACUGUAUGAGAGCUGAAACUAGAGGGCAGAGCCCCACCUUAUUUGACCUCAGCUGGGAACGUGUGCAACCGGUGGCCAGAACUCCUCGCUGCUCUACACAUGCAGAUGUCCACUAGUGACCGAGACGGUGCUCUGAGUAUUGCUUUUGAAGUUCGAAAUACGUACCAACAAGUCGGUGAACUGGCAAAUAUGGAAUCUGUGAAUGAUGAGGAUCAACUGCCAAUGCUGCCUGCAGUAAGUUACGCCGGUCGCUUCUAUCCAUAUUUCCUUGGCCAAAACAAAUCAUAGGGGCUUGUUUGACGUCAAGUGCAAGCACACUGUGUUCUCAAAGAAGAGCUCCAAUAUUUGAGAGAAGCGCUGAUGCUCAUUGGUGAUACAAUUUAGUCAUUCAUUGAUAAUUCCAUACUUGCGGUAGAUUUUCUUUUCCAAAGACAGUUGCAAUAUUAUCUCCCAUUCAACAUGCUGCUCUUAUAAUGUGAUUUUGAUACAUCCCGGCCCCCUCCCCUCUGACAUCAAGAGAUGGAGGUCUAUGCUUUUUUUCCUUGAAACGGGGCAGGUUUGUGACUACUGUAGAAGUAACCCUGUGUUACUUCUGAAGCUGGAUCAUUAAGGACUUCCACCUGAUUUUCUUUAGGACAAUUACUCUUAAAAAUCCAACAACCAUGCUGAAGGGAAGCCCAAGCAUCUCCACGGAGAGCCAUGUGUAGGUUCCUAGCUGACAGCUGGCGUUGACCUCUACACGUCCAAGUGACCAAGUGUUCAGACAUUGCCAACCCCCACCACUGAGUCACACCACACAUCCUCCAUUCCUCUAGGCUGAGGCCUCAGGGAUCAUAGGGCAGACACAAGCUGUCCCUGCAGUACCCACAGAACCCGUGAGCAUAAAUAAAUAGUUAUAUUUUUAUGCCACUAAGUUUGGGGUGAUAUAUUCUCCAGGGUAAUAACUGAAAGAGUGCCCUCUAUGUACAGCGCUGUUGUAGAUGUUGGGGGGUUUUAGUCAUACAUAAAAUUUCAUUCUAGGGGAUCCCUGGGUGGCGCAGCGGUUUAGCGCCUGCCUUUGGCCCAGGGCACGAUCCUGGAGACCCGGGAUCGAAUCCUACGUCGGGCUCCCGGUGCAUGGAGCCUGCUUCUCCCUCUG